rnacentral:rRNA from 1 species
GGGGAAUAUUGGACAAUGGGGGAAACCCUGAUCCAGCCAUGCCGCGUGUGUGAAGAAGGCCUUUUGGUUGUAAAGCACUUUAAGCAGUGAAGAAGACUCCUCGGUUAAUACCCGUGGACGAUGACAUUAGCUGCAGAAUAAGCACCGGCUAACUCUGUGCCAGCAGCCGCGGUAAUACAGAGGGUGCAAGCGUUAAUCGGAAUUACUGGGCGUAAAGCGAGCGUAGGUGGCUUGAUAAGUCAGAUGUGAAAUCCCCGGGCUUAACCUGGGAACUGCAUCUGAAACUGUUAGGCUAGAGUAGGUGAGAGGGAGGUAGAAUUUCAGGUGUAGCGGUGAAAUGCGUAGAGAUCUGAAGGAAUACCGAUGGCGAAGGCAGCCUCCUGGCAUCAUACUGACACUGAGGCUCGAAAGCGUGGGUAGCAAACAGGAUUAGAUACCCUGGUAGUCCACGCCGUAAACGAUGUCUACUAGUCGUUGGGUCCCUUGAGGACUUAGUGACGCAGCUAACGCAAUAAGUAGACCGCCUGGGGAGUACGGCCGCAAGGUUAAAACUCAAAUGAAUUGACGGGGGCCCGCACAAGCGGUGGAGCAUGUGGUUUAAUUCGAUGCAACGCGAAGAACCUUACCUGGUCUUGACAUAUCUAGAAUCCUGCAGAGAUGCGGGAGUGCCUUCGGGAAUUAGAAUACAGGUGCUGCAUGGCUGUCGUCAGCUCGUGUCGUGAGAUGUUGGGUUAAGUCCCGCAACGAGCGCAACCCUUGUCCUUAGUUACCAGCGGGUUAAGCCGGGAACUCUAGGAUACUGCCAGUGACAA